rnacentral:misc_RNA from 1 species
AGCAGGAUCAUUCUCGUAUAUCGAUUAUGAAGAAGAGAGAGCCUUCGGGCUACUCAAUUCAACAUAUUAAUUGGUGAUUCCCUAACCGGGGAUCAUCACUCUCGCGCCAAAGUGACCAAAACGGAGCUGGGAUCGCCCCCCGGAUGCAGAGCGCUGCGUGAGCUGCCCAGGUAUUACACCGUCUAUGGCCAAGCACGUGGUUCGCUUUGUAGCUCGGGUGCGUGUGUGAAACCAGUUCCAGCGGUUGAGCGACGAUGAGCCCAUCUCCUCCAGGGUCUCCUCACUUUCUUACAGAGAGUGAGGAUAGAUCUAGAGGAGCAAGGUUCCAGGAUGGUAAAAUAUCCUGGGGCCUAUCUGACUACACUGGACGAUGGAUAUCUCGGUUCGAAGCUCGAUGAAGGUCGCAGCAAAGUGCGAUAAGUGUCACGACUUGCAGACUCUAGUGAGCUGACCAAUUACUGAAUGCAAAUUGCGGCUAGUUAAGUCUGGCCAUGCAUUGCAGAGUGUUGUUGAUAUCGGUCAUCCACCUUUUGCUGCAAAGCAAAUGAAUGUGGGACCACGUCGAUAGUCUGGUGGACAACUGCCGACCGACGUGAACGAUAUCCGCAAGGAGCCUUUUCCACUGUCUUCGGGCAGAUGGUAGGGCAACUUGUGCGAUUGGAGAUCCAAACUCACAAUCAACAGCCUCGUGCUGAUCAAAGAUUGAAGAAACCCUCUUCAACCUCUGCGAUGCAGGAUAACGCGCUGAACUUAAGCAUAUUACUAAGCGCAGGAAAAGAAAACAACAGUGAUUUCCCUAGUAACGGCGAGUGAACAGGAAACAGCCCAAGAUUGAAUCCGUGGUGGAGGGAACCUGAAACCAUGGAAUUGUAGUGCCAGGGGGAUGUCGCAAGGGUUGAGGGGUGUGGUUGACUGAUCUGAAAAGGUCAAUCCACAGAGGGUUAUCGUCCCAUAUGUGCCACACGUCCUCGAUUCAACAACGCUUCAUUCUUCCAAGAGUCGUACAGUUUGGGAAUGCUGUGCAAAAUCGCUGGUGUGCUUCAGCGAAGGCUAAAUAUUGCUUCGAGACCGAUAGCGAACAAGUAGUGUGAACGAAAGAUGAAAAGAACUUUGAAAAGAGAGUGAAAAGUACUUGAAAUCGUCCAGUGAUAAGGGUAUAGGAAACUUGUUAUCCGGCCUUUUAGGUCGGUUUUGAUCGGACAGGUUGACCUCUUCCGGUGGUCCGUCGAGCAUUCCACUUCGGUGGCGUGUCAGCGAGGCCGAUACGGUAAGUGGGUCGACUGGUCUUUGCUUGCUUCGCUCGGGUGCGUAGUGUGUGGCCGGGGUGCGGGAGCAUCUGCUUCUUCGGAGGUGGUUCUCACGUGCUCUUGCUGCGCGCCACACUUCCGCGGCACGGUAGGCUUUCCGAUUACUAAAUGAUCUUAUACCACCCGUCUUGAAACACGGACCAAGGAGUCCACCGAAUGUGCGAGUGUUAUGGUGUCAAACCAGAGCCCUCAGGGGGCGGUAGACGCGUAAUGAAAGUGACAUAAAUCUGUGAUCCGUGGCCUCGGCUGCGGUGCAACAGAGCUCGAUCCUAAUUCUGUGUAAAAGGGAUUUGAAGUCAAGCACAUUCGCUGGGACCCGAAAGAUGGCGAGCUUUUCCCAGGCCGGUCGAAGCCAGGGGAAACCUUGGUGGAGGACCGAAUGCAGUACUGACGUGCAAAUCGUUUGCCAGAUCUGGGUAAAGGGGCGAAAGACUCAUCGAGCCAUCUAGUAGCUGGUUCCUAC